rnacentral:rRNA from 1 species
UGAGGAAUAUUGGUCAAUGGACGAGAGUCUGAACCAGCCAAGUAGCGUGCAGGAUGACGGCCCUAUGGGUUGUAAACUGCUUUUGUUUGGGAAUAAUCGACAUUACGUGUAAUGUUUUGCAUGUACCAUUCGAAUAAGGACCGGCUAAUUCCGUGCCAGCAGCCGCGGUAAUACGGAAGGUCCAGGCGUUAUCCGGAUUUAUUGGGUUUAAAGGGAGUGUAGGCGGUUGGUUAAGCGUGUUGUGAAAUGUAGAUGCUCAACAUCUGACUUGCAGCGCGAACUGGCUGACUUUAGUACACACAACGUAGGCGGACUUCAUGGUGUAGCGGUGAAAUGCUUAGAUAUCAUGAAGAACUCCGAUUGCGAAGGCAGCUUACGGGAGUGUUACUGACGCUUAAGCUCGAAGGUGCGGGUAUCGAACAGG